CGAAUGAAGCGCGAGAUCGCUCAAUUCGUGAAUGAAUGUGAUGUCUGCAGAAGAGUGAAGGCAGAACACCAAAGGCCAGCUGGUCUCCUCCAACCUCUUGCCAUUCCAGAAUGGAAGUUUGACCACAUUGAAAUGGACUUCGUGACUGGGUUUCCAAAGUCCAAGCGUGGCAAUGAUGCUAUAUUUGUUGUCAUCGACAAGCUCACCAAAGUGGCUCAUUUUCUGCCUAUCAAAGAGUCGAUCACUGCAGCUCAAUUGGCGGAACUCUAUUCCUCUCGCAUUGUCUCUCUGCACGGUAUUCCUCAAGUGAUAUCUUCA
rnacentral:rRNA from 1 species